CGAUCAUAGAACAGAAAAGUAGGACAACAUGUGACAGGACAACAUUCUACCUACAUGUGAAAAGUUGGUCCCCUUGCUGCUUGUGAACUCCUUUCAAGUACUGGAAGAUCACAAUGAGGUCUCCCUGGAGCCUUUUCUUCACCUGCUGGAGGUGACUUCUGAGUGAGCACGUUAACUGUUGGUCAAGAACCUUUCCAAAAUUGUAGUUGAGCUUCCUUUACAGAGAAAAACUAAGGAUGUUUAAAUUGGUGCAGAAGAGGCCCAUGUCACAGAGGUGGCAAACACAUGGUGCUGAAGGUGCAGCUGAGGAGUUUGAGCUGGGCAGCUGCAGCAUGGAGGAAGUGCUGCUUUCUGAGUUGCACAGCUAACACUUGGAUGACUUUGGGUUCUUCUAAGUCCUCCCAUGAGUGACUGUUUUCUGCGACUCAGCUCCCAUAUCUGCUAGGAGAACAGCAGUGUGUUUGUCAACCCACAGGAGUGAAAGAGUCAGCUCUGCUAAAUGCUGCAACCUCUUUGGCUGGACAGUGUUGUGGACAGUGUCUCUUCAGUUGAGGUAUUGUAAAAACCUUAAGCUUGGUGUCUUACCACUUAUGUUUAUAUAACUGGGUGUUCUUAAUAAUGUGUCCUCUGGACUGAGCUAGUGUUACUGUUAAUUUAAAAGUGACUUGCAGUAUCUUUGCUGUCUUUGUGAUUUUUGAAAAUGCCUGCAUUCUUUUGCUGUCUGGCUCCUUUAUAAAAAAAGAAAUAAGGGAGGAGUUUGUCCUUUUUGUUUUGAUUUCAUCCUUGGGAGAGAGAAGAUUAGAGCUAUGAAAAUUCUUUUAAAUAUAGGACUCAGAAUUCAGUCACCAGAUAUGAUUAAAAAAUUGGAUUUCUAGCUCUACCUACCUAUUGUUGCUGAAAAAAAGCAGAGGAAAAAGGUAGUAUGACACAUAGAGUACACCUAUAAUGAUUUCAUUCACUGCAGAGCCAUCCAUCAACAAAACGAUAACUAACCAACCCUUUUGUCAACAAAGCACUAUUCAAUUUAUCAUUUAAGUUGGUAGGUAAACAAGAGAGUUAAUGAACCAGGGACAAGUUGGUCAUGAUGGACAAGAAAUAUAGGGAUUCUGCAUUGCUUUUUCCCUUGUUCAUCCUUUCAUACCUUUGCUAUUUUGAUUUGGCACCAAUUUCACUCCCAUUUUACACUUGCCUUGCACCGCAGUAAAUAAUUACUCAAAGAUGAAGACAAUUGCAAAUCAGGCUUGACAUAUUUCAGAGAGCAAAUUGCAGGAAGUGCAGUUAGGACUCCUUAGGUGCUUGCCCUGGUUCUGCAAACCACUUGCUAAGUGACCCUGGACAAUUAACCUCUCUGUGUUUCUGUUUAUCUAACUGUACUACCUCCCAGGGGUAUUAUUAGGCUUAAUUUAUCAAUCGUUCAAUACACUCAUGUUGAGUAUUUUGAAAUGCCUGCUGAAAGAGACCAUCUAAGUGCAGAACAGUAUUUAGAAGGUUAAUUUACCUGUUAAAAUCGGUUUGUAGCUGGUUCAAUUUACUUGGUUUUAUGGACAAAAAAUGAUCCAAAAUAUUUAGCAAGUAGAAACUGAGGAAAACCAGGAGAGGGUUAUCAAAAUCAUGGCUAUUUAAAAAGAUGUGCAAUUUCAAGGAGUGGCUCAUGGGUCUCUUAGGUAUAUUAUAUAUAUGAUACUGAGUCUUUCAAAGUUAAAUAAAUUAAUUGAGAGAAAAAAAAAAAAAACCUGUAAAUAAGGCUACUCAGAAAAGACAAUUUCCAAAUUUUCUUCUCUUUUAAAUGAAAGUUUC
ensembl:lncRNA